rnacentral:rRNA from 1 species
GACGAACCGUGCGAACGUUGUUCGGAAUCACUGGGCUUAAAGGGUGCGUAGGCGGGUUGUCCAGUCUGGGGUGAAAUCCCACGGCUCAACCGUGGAAUUGCCUCAGAUACUGACGACCUCGAGGGAGGUAGGGGCGAGCGGACCUGGGGGUGGAGCGGUGAAAUGCGUUGAUAUCCACAGGAACUCCGGUGGCGAAGGCGGCUCGCUGGACCUCUUCUGACGCUGAGGCACGAAAGCUAGGGGAGCAAUCGGG